AAUAGAUACCCUGGUAGUCCACGCCGUAAACGAUGAGUGCUAAGUGUUAGAGGGUUUCCGCCCUUUAGUGCUGCAGCUAACGCAUUAAGCACUCCGCCUGGGGAGUACGGUCGCAAGACUGAAACUCAAAGGAAUUGACGGGGGCCCGCACAAGCGGUGGAGCAUGUGGUUUAAUUCGAAGCAACGCGAAGAACCUUACCAGGUCUUGACAUCCUCUGACAACUCUAGAGAUAGAGCGUUCCCCUUCGGGGGACAGAGUGACAGGUGGUGCAUGGUUGUCGUCAGCUCGUGUCGUGAGAUGUUGGGUUAAGUCCCGCAACGAGCGCAACCCUUGAUCUUAGUUGCCAGCAUUCAGUUGGGCACUCUAAGGUGACUGCCGGUGACAAACCGGAGGAAGGUGGGGAUGACGUCAAAUCAUCAUGCCCCUUAUGACCUGGGCUACACACGUGCUACAAUGGAUGGUACAAAGGGCUGCAAGACCGCGAGGUCAAGCCAAUCCCAUAAAACCCAUUCUCAGUUCGGAUUGGUA
rnacentral:rRNA from 1 species